GCAAACUUGGUCAUUUAGAGGAAGUAAAAGUCGUAACAAGGUCUCCGUUGGUGAACCAGCGGAGGGAUCAUUAAAGAGUGUAUAACUCCUAAACCCAUGUGAACUUACCUCUGUUGCCUCGGCAGGCCACACGUCUACCCUGUAGGCACUUACCUUGUAAGGCCUUACCCUGGUAGGACUUACCCGGUAAACGUUUACCCUGCCGGUGGCCCACGAAACUCUGGUUAUUAUAUUUUGGUAUUCUGAAAAUUGUGGGAAUAAGUUAAAACUUUCAACAACGGAUCUCUUGGUUCUGGCAUCGAUGAAGAACGCAGC
rnacentral:misc_RNA from 1 species